UGUGUGUGUGUGUGUGUGUAUGUGUGUGUGUGUGUAUAUAUAUAUAUACAUAUAUAUAUAUAUAUAUACACACACAUAUACACACAUACACACACC
rnacentral:miRNA from 1 species